UCUCUUAUAGUUUAAAUGAACAUAGCUUUUUCAAGGCUAAAGAAAAAAGAGUU
rnacentral:tRNA from 1 species